AGAGUUUGAUCAUGGCUCAGGACGAACGCUGGCGGCGUGCCUAAUACAUGCAAGUCGAGCGGACGAAUCGAAAGCUUGCUUUUGAUUCGUUAGCGGCGGACGGGUGUGUAACACGUGGGCAACCUGCCCUGUAGACGGGGAUAACACCGAGAAAUCGGUGCUAAUACCGGAUAACACGAAAUGUCGCAUGACGUUUCGUUGAAAGACGGCGCAAGCUGUCGCUACAGGAUGGGCCCGCGGCGCAUUAGCUAGUUGGUGAGGUAACGGCUCACCAAGGCGACGAUGCGUAGCCGACCUGAGAGGGUGAUCGGCCACACUGGGACUGAGACACGGCCCAGACUCCUACGGGAGGCAGCAGUAGGGAAUCUUCCGCAAUGGACGAAAGUCUGACGGAGCAACGCCGCGUGAGCGAAGAAGGCCUUCGGGUCGUAAAGCUCUGUUGUUAGGGAAGAACAAGUAACGCAGUAACUGGCGUUAUCGUGACGGUACCUAACGAGAAAGCCACGGCUAACUACGUGCCAGCAGCCGCGGUAAUACGUAGGUGGCAAGCGUUGUCCGGAAUUAUUGGGCGUAAAGCGCGCGCAGGCGGUUCCUUAAGUCUGAUGUGAAAGCCCACGGCUCAACCGUGGAGGGUCAUUGGAAACUGGGGGACUUGAGUGCAGAAGAGGAGAGCGGAAUUCCACGUGUAGCGGUGAAAUGCGUAGAGAUGUGGAGGAACACCAGUGGCGAAGGCGGCUCUCUGGUCUGUAACUGACGCUGAGGCGCGAAAGCGUGGGGAGCAAACAGGAUUAGAUACCCUG
rnacentral:rRNA from 1 species